rnacentral:tRNA from 1 species
GCGGGCAUGGUGAAAAGGUAUCACAAAUGCUUCCCAAGCAUUUAGUACGGGUUCGAUUCCCGUUGCCCGCU